rnacentral:rRNA from 1 species
GAUGAACGCUGGCGGCGUGCUUAACACAUGCAAGUCGAACGGUGAAGCUCCAGCUUGCUGGAGUGGAUCAGUGGCGAACGGGUGAGUAACACGUGAGCAACCUGCCCCUGACUCUGGGAUAACAGCCGGAAACGGCUGCUAAUACCGGAUAUGCACCAUGAACGCAUGUUCUGUGGUGGGAAAGAUUUUUCGGUUGGGGAUGGGCUCGCGGCCUAUCAGCUUGUUGGUGAGGUAAUGGCUCACCAAGGCGUCGACGGGUAGCCGGCCUGAGAGGGUGACCGGCCACACUGGGACUGAGACACGGCCCAGACUCCUACGGGAAGCAGCAGUGGGGAAUAUUGCACAAUGGGCGAAAGCCUGAUGCAGCAACGCCGCGUGAGGGAUGACGGCCUUCGGGUUGUAAACCUCUUUUAGCAGGGAAGAAGCGAGAGUGACGGUACCCGCAGAAAAAGCGCCGGCUAACUACGUG